rnacentral:rRNA from 1 species
UACGUAGGGUGCAAGCGUUUAAUCGGAAUUACUGGGCGUAAAGCGUGCGCAGGCGGUUUUGUAAGUCUGUCGUGAAAGCCCCGGGCUUAACCUGGGAAUUGCGAUGGAGACUGCAAGGCUUGAAUCUGGCAGAGGGGGGUAGAAUUCCACGUGUAGCAGUGAAAUGCGUAGAGAUGUGGAGGAAUACCGAUGGCGAAGGCAGCCCCCUGGGAUAACACUGACGCUCAUGCACGAAAGCGUGGGGAGCAAACAGG